rnacentral:rRNA from 1 species
GAUGAACGCUAGCUACAGGCUUAACACAUGCAAGUCGCGGGGCAGCAUGGGGGUUGCUUGCAAUCCCCGAUGGCGACCGGCGCACGGGUGAGUAACGCGUAUCCAACCUGCUCUUCACCACGAGAUAACCCGGCGAAAGUCGGCCUAAUACCGUAUGUUGUCCAUUGUCGGCCUCCGAUUUCGUCGAACGUCUUGCGGGUGAGGGCUGCGGAUGCGUCCGAUUAGCUGGACGGCGGGGUAACGGCCCACCGUGGCUACGAUCGGUAGGGGUUCUGAGAGGAAGGUCCCCGACACUGGAACUGAGACACGGUCCAGACUCCUACGGGAGGCAGCAGUGAGGAAUAUUGGUCAAUGGGCGUAAGCCUGAACCAGCCAAGUAGCGUGCAGGAUGACGGCCCUAGGGGUUGUAAACUGCUUUUAUGCGGGGAUAAAGUGGCCCACGUGUGGGCUUUUGCAGGUACCGCAUGAAUAAGGACCGGCUAAUUCCGUG